rnacentral:snRNA from 1 species
AGCUUUGCUCAGUGACAGUAUCAUAGCCAGUGCUGUUUAUCCGAGGCGUGAUUAUUGUUAGUUGAAACAAAUUCACAUGUUGAUGGUAAUGACUUUUACACCAUCAUUUAAGUACAAGGCUUUAGUUA